GACGAACCGUCCUAACGUUGUUCGGAAUCACUGGGCUUAAAGGGCGCGUAGGCGGGCGAUCCAGUCCGGGGUGAAAUCUUUCGGCUUAACCGGAAAACAGCCUUGGAUACUGAUCGUCUCGAGGGAGGUAGGGGCCUGUGGAACUUCCGGUGGAGCGGUGAAAUGCGUUGAUAUCGGAAGGAACGCCGGUGGCGAAAGCGACGGGCUGGACCUCUUCUGACGCUGAGGCGCGAAAGCUAGGGGAGCAAACGGG
rnacentral:rRNA from 1 species